rnacentral:rRNA from 1 species
GACGUAGGGAGCGAGCGUUGUCCGGAUUUACUGGGCGUAAAGAGCACGUAGGCGGUCUGUUAAGUGAGAAGUGAAAUCUCCAGCGCUCAACGCGGAAACGGCUUUUCAUACUGGCAGACUUGAGGAAUGCAGAGGCAAGUAGAAUUCCUGGUGUACCGGUGACAUGGGUUGAUAUCAGGAGGAAUACCAAUGGCGAAGGCAGCUUGCUGGGCAUUAUCUGACGCUGAGGUGCGAAAGCGUGGGUAGCAAACAGG